rnacentral:rRNA from 1 species
CUGGUUGAUCCUGCCAGUAGUCAUAUGCUUGUCUCAAAGAUUAAGCCAUGCAAGUCUAAGUAUAAAUGAUUCUAUACAGUGAAACUGCAAAUGGCUCAUUAUAUCAGUUAUAGUUUAUUUGAUGGCAACUUACUAUAUGGAUACCUGUAGUAAUUCUAGAGCUAAUACAUGCUGAGAAAGCCCCAACUUUUUGGAGGGGUGUAUUUAUUAGUUUCAAACCAAUGCUGGGCAACCAGAGCUUUGGUGAAUCAUGAUAACUUUACAAAUCGCAAGGUGUCAUCCGGCAAUAGUUCAUUCAAAUAUCUGCCCUAUCAACUUUCGAUGGUAGGAUAGAGGCCUACCAUGGUUGUAACGGGUGACGGGGGAUUAGGGUUCAAAUCCGGAGAGUAUGCCUGAGAAACGGCAAACACAUCCAAGGAAGGCAGCACGCGCAAAUUACCCAAUCCUGACACAGGGAGGUAGUGACAAUAAAUAACGAUGCUGGACUCUUUUGGGUCUAGCAAUUGGAAUGAGUACAUUCUAAAUCCAUUCACAAGGAACAAUUGGAGGGCAAGUCUGGUGCCAGCAGCCGCGGUAAUUCCAGCUCCAAUAGCGUAUAUUAAAUUUGUUGCAGUUAAAAAGCUCGUAGUUGAACUUUGAGGCUCCUGCCUUGGUCUGCCUCACGGUUGAACCAAAAAAGGUCCUUGAAAUUUUGACGACCUCUUCAGGCUUUACUAUUUGUUGAGGACUAGUCAAAGACUUACCGUGAAUAAAUCAGGGUGUUUAAAGCAAGCUUUUGCUUGAAUGUAUUAGCAUGGAAUAAUAAAAUAGGACAAUGGCUCUAUUUUGUUGGUUUUAGUACCAUUGUAAUGAUUAAUAGGGACGGUUGGGGCAUUGGUAUUUCAUAGUCAGAGGUGAAAUUCUUGGACCUAUGAAAGACUAACUUAUGCAAAAGCAUUUGCCAAAGACGUUUUCAUUAAUCAAGAGCAAAAGUUAGGGGAUCAAAGACAAUUAGAUACCGUCGUAGUCUUAACUAUAAACUAUGCCAACUAGGGAUUGGGGAGAGUUGUUUGACUUUCUCAGCACCUUAAGAGAAAUCAAAGUUGAUGGGUUCUGGGGGGAGUAUAGUCGCAAGGCUGAAACUUAAAGGAAUUGACGGAAGGGCACCACCAGGAGUGGAGCCUGCGGCUUAAUUAGACUCAACACGGGGCAACUUACCAGGUCCAGACAUAGUGAGGAUUGACAGAUUGAAAGAUCUUUCUUGAUUCUAUGGGUAGUGGUGCAUGGCCGUUCUUAGUUGGUGGAGUGAUCUGUCUGGUUAAUUCGAAUAACAAAUGAGACCUUAACCUGCUAACUAGUCAUUGAACUUUGGUUCAAACCGACUUCUUAGAGGGACAAUUGAUAUUUAAUCAAUGGAAGUUUGAGGCAAUAACAGGUCUGUGAUGCCCUUAGAUGUUCUGGGCCGCACGCGUGCUACACUGAUGAAGGCAGCAAGUUGAUUCCUUAGCUGAAAAGCUUGGGUAAUCUUUUGAAACUUCAUUGUGAUGGGGAUAGUCCAUUGCAAUUAUUGGACUUGAACAAGGAAUUCCUAGUAAGCACAAGUCAUCAGCUUGUGCUGAUUACGUCCCUGCCCUUUGUACACACCGCCCAUCGCUACUACCAAUUGACUGGCUUAGUGAGGCCUUUGGAUUGAUGGUUUAGGCUGUUUCAGCUUGGAUUUGUCAAGAAGCUGGUCAAACUAGGUCAUUUAGAGGAAGUAAAAGUUGUAACAAGGUUUCCGUAGGUGAACCUGCAG